UACGAAGGGGGCUAGCGUUGCUCGGAAUCACUGGGCGUAAAGGGUGCGUAGGCGGGUCUUUAAGUCAGGGGUGAAAUCCUGGAGCUCAACUCCAGAACUGCCAUUGAUACUGAGGAUCUUGAGUUCGGGAGAGGUGAGUGGAACUGCGAGUGUAGAGGUGAAAUUCGUAGAUAUUCGCAAGAACACCAGUGGCGAAGGCGGCUCACUGGCCCGAUACUGACGCUGAGGCACGAAAGCGUGGGGAGCAAACAGG
rnacentral:rRNA from 1 species